rnacentral:rRNA from 1 species
GUGUGACUGCGUACCUUUUGUAUAAUGGGUCAGCGACUUAUAUUCUGUAGCAAGGUUAACCGAAUAGGGGAGCCGAAGGGAAACCGAGUCUUAACUGGGCGUUAAGUUGCAGGGUAUAGACCCGAAACCCGGUGAUCUAGCCAUGGGCAGGUUGAAGGUUGGGUAACACUAACUGGAGGACCGAACCGACUAAUGUUGAAAAAUUAGCGGAUGACUUGUGGCUGGGGGUGAAAGGCCAAUCAAACCGGGAGAUAGCUGGUUCUCCCCGAAAGCUAUUUAGGUAGCGCCUCGUGAAUUCAUCUCCGGGGGUAGAGCACUGUUUCGGCAAGGGGGUCAUCCCGACUUACCAACCCGAUGCAAACUGCGAAUACCGGAGAAUGUUAUCACGGGAGACACACGGCGGGUGCUAACGUCCGUCGUGAAGAGGGAAACAACCCAGACCGCCAGCUAAGGUCCCAAAGUCAUGGUUAAGUGGGAAACGAUGUGGGAAGGCCCAGACAGCCAGGAUGUUGGCUUAGAAGCAGCCAUCAUUUAAAGAAAGCGUAAUAGCUCACUGGUCGAGUCGGCCUGCGCGGAAGAUGUAACGGGGCUAAACCAUGCACCGAAGCUGCGGCAGCGACGCUUAUGCGUUGUUGGGUAGGGGAGCGUUCUGUAAGCCUGUGAAGGUGUGCUGUGAGGCAUGCUGGAGGUAUCAGAAGUGCGAAUGCUGACAUAAGUAACGAUAAAGCGGGUGAAAAGCCCGCUCGCCGGAAGACCAAGGGUUCCUGUCCAACGUUAAUCGGGGCAGGGUGAGUCGACCCCUAAGGCGAGGCCGAAAGGCGUAGUCGAUGGGAAACAGGUUAAUAUUCCUGUACUUGGUGUUACUGCGAAGGGGGGACGGAGAAGGCUAUGUUGGCCGGGCGACGGUUGUCCCGGUUUAAGCGUGUAGGCUGGUUUUCCAGGCAAAUCCGGAAAAUCAAGGCUGAGGCGUGAUGACGAGGCACUACGGUGCUGAAGCAACAAAUGCCCUGCUUCCAGGAAAAGCCUCUAAGCAUCAGGUAACAUCAAAUCGUACCCCAAACCGACACAGGUGGUCAGGUAGAGAAUACCAAGGCGCUUGAGAGAACUCGGGUGAAGGAACUAGGCAAAAUGGUGCCGUAACUUCGGGAGAAGGCACGCUGAUAUGUAGGUGAAGUCCCUCGCGGAUGGAGCUGAAAUCAGUCGAAGAUACCAGCUGGCUGCAACUGUUUAUUAAAAACACAGCACUGUGCAAACACGAAAGUGGACGUAUACGGUGUGACGCCUGCCCGGUGCCGGAAGGUUAAUUGAUGGGGUUAGCGCAAGCGAAGCUCUUGAUCGAAGCCCCGGUAAACGGCGGCCGUAACUAUAACGGUCCUAAGGUAGCGAAAUUCCUUGUCGGGUAAGUUCCGACCUGCACGAAUGGCGUAAUGAUGGCCAGGCUGUCUCCACCCGAGACUCAGUGAAAUUGAACUCGCUGUGAAGAUGCAGUGUACCCGCGGCAAGACGGAAAGACCCCGUGAACCUUUACUAUAGCUUGACACUGAACAUUGAGCCUUGAUGUGUAGGAUAGGUGGGAGGCUUUGAAGUGUGGACGCCAGUCUGCAUGGAGCCGACCUUGAAAUACCACCCUUUAAUGUUUGAUGUUCUAACGUUGACCCGU